AUUUUAUUUGUACCAGUUGUUCCUAAACAAUACGUGUCUUCCUACGUUUGUUGUCCUUUUGAUAUGUCUUGGUCGAUCAUUGCUAGCCUUCGGAAAGUAUAUUAUGGCCAUUAUCAAAGCUGUUGACAUUUUGAAUAUAAUGACAUCCUUAUUUUGUUCUGUCAUAGUUUUUGGAUGAUCCUAUUAUGAAAAGAUACUCCGAAAAGGUUGCCCCAGAGAAGCAUGGAAUUGAUGUACACUAAAAAUGUAAUUAAUUGAUUCAUUGAAAGGUAUGUCAAGGAAAUUAGUCAAGUGUCUGAUCGAUAAGAAUGUCAAGCGAACACUAAAUAUAUGUCUCAAAAUACAAAGAGACAUUCAAAAGUUAAAUAACACAGAUUCCGAUCACCAUGGAAAUUUUCAGCAGAAAGUCCCUAAGCAAAUAAAAACUCAAAAGCAUAACACAUCAUAAGUAAAAUAACAAAACUACCGAUCGCGAUCUCCGAGGGAUAUUAACAAGCUAUAGUCCCUUAGCAAAUGGCAACAUCAAAAGCUCAAGCAUUUCAAACGAAUUUAUAACAACUGUCAUAUUCCUUACUUGGAACAUGCAUUCUCUUAUGUAGAAAAGCUUCUUUAUAUAAUAAAAUUCAUCAAAAUUUUAUUUAAAUAUUUAGUAUUUUGAAUAAUCAUGCAAAAUAACUACACACGCACACACACACAAAUCUUCAAUCAACAACACUCAGAAAUGACACUGAGAUAUAAGUAGUCUUGCCAACUGUCAUAUACAGUUAUUUUUUCUUUAUGAAUAAGUUGAUAAUUAUAAUACUUCAAUACAACAUUGGAUUAUGUACAAUGAAUAAACAAAACAAGGGUAGAUUUGUUCAUAAAAAAGGAAUGUCUGUGAAAUAUUUGUAAAACAUACGAAAACGUAUCUACAUUGAGUGUAGAAACGACAAAAAUGUAAAAAACAAAUAUAGAUUUUAUACAUAUUAUUUAUGUAUUACAUGUUUGCAUUCAUUUUAAGGUUUCUCGUAUACUAUCUUUAAAAAAUUAAAAGAAAGUAAUAGAUUUUGAAGAUAAAGUUGAAUAGCUUAGUUAAAAAUAUCCCAAAAAGAAAAUCAUUUUCGAAAGAUAGAUAUUGCAGUUUUACAAUAUAUGGUAUGAUAUCGGUUCAGUGAGUUAUUCUUCUGGUAAAAUCUCAAAUAUGAAAUUGUAUACUAUUUGAAAUAAACAAUCCAACUAGUAUAGAAGGCUUUGUUUACGAUUUUGGAACAGGUGGUAUUACAUCGAGCUAUUUAGUAGUAAUACUUAUUCUUAGUACUGAGUUAAUUGAUACAAUGAUAUUUAUUGUAUAUUUUUUCCAAUUAAUCAAAGUUUUAUAGCACUCUCUUGUAAUUGGUCGCUUAGUCAUACAAUUUAUAAACAUUUUCACAUAAUAUAGUGUACAUUAAUUCAUAUAUGUUCGCAUCAAGUUUUGAUACUUUAAUAAUUACUACUUUACUAUUGAAUUGAUUUGGUCACUAUCAAUAUAUUACCAAAACGCAUGUGCGAGUGAACGGAUAUGGGUUAUGAUCAUUGGCAGUUGUUUCAUGUUUAAAUGAUCGGAAUGAUGUAUGUUAAAUAUACCAUAAAGUAAAGAUUAAUGUUUGAAUGGGGCCAUUCUAAAAAAUAUGACAACAAUGUUGAUUAAGUCUCAUGAAAUUUUAAAUUUUUGUUGGGUAUAAAAAGUGUUUAUCCUUAUGGCUUAAUUGAUGGUUUAAUCAUUCUGCAAUCAAAAUUAUUUUGUAAAACAGUUUUUUU
rnacentral:lncRNA from 1 species